UACGUAGGGUGCGAGCGUUGUCCGGAAUUAUUGGGCGUAAAGGGCUCGUAGGCGGUUUGUCGCGUCGGGAGUGAAAACGCCGUGCUUAACACGGCGCUUGCUUUCGAUACGGGCAGACUAGAGGUAUGCAGGGGAGAACGGAAUUCCUGGUGUAGCGGUGAAAUGCGCAGAUAUCGGGAAGAACACCCGUGGCGAAGGCGGCUCUCUGGAACGCAACUGACGCUGAGACGCGAAAGCGUGGGGAGCAAACAGG
rnacentral:rRNA from 1 species